rnacentral:rRNA from 1 species
AUCGGAUUACUGGGCGUAAGCGCGCGUAGGCGGCUAAUUAAGUCAAAUGUGAAAUCCCCGAGCUUAACUUGGGAAUUGCAUUCGAUACUGGUUAGCUAGAGUGUGGGAGAGGAUGGUAGAAUUCCAGGUGUAGCGGUGAAAUGCGUAGAGAUCUGGAGGAAUACCGAUGGCGAAGGCAGCCAUCUGGCCUAACACUGACGCUGAGGUGCGAAAGCAUGGGGAGCAAACAGGAUUAGAUACCCUGGUAGUCCAUGCCGUAAACGAUGUCUACUAGCCGUUGGGGCCUUUGAGGCUUUAGUGGCGCAGCUAACGCGAUAAGUAGACCGCCUGGGGAGUACGGUCGCAAGACUAAAACUCAAAUGAAUUGACGGGGGCCCGCACAAGCGGUGGAGCAUGUGGUUUAAUUCGAUGCAACGCGAAGAACCUUACCUGGCCUUGACAUAGUAAGAACUUUCCAGAGAUGGAUUGGUGCCUUCGGGAACUUACAUACAGGUGCUGCAUGGCUGUCGUCAGCUCGUGUCGUGAGAUGUUGGGUUAAGUCCCCGCAACGAGCGCAACCCUUUUCCUUAUUUGCCAGCGAGUAAUGUCGGGAACUUUAAGGAUACUGCCAGUGACAAACUGGAGGAAGGCGGGGACGACGUCAAGUCAUCAUGGCCCUUACGGCCAGGGCUACACACGUGCUACAAUGGUCGGUACAAAGGGUUGCUACACAGCGAUGUGAUGCUAAUCUCAAAAAGCCGAUCGUAGUCCGGAUUGGAGUCUGCAACUCGACUCCAUGAAGUCGGAAUCGCUAGUAAUCGCGGAUCAGAUGCCGCGUGAAUACGUUCCCGGGCCCUUGUACACACCGCCCGUCACACCAUGGGAGUUUGUUGCACAGAGUAGCUAGCCUACUGCAAGAGGGCG